rnacentral:rRNA from 1 species
UAUGUGAUCGUCUCUCGCAUAUCAAUAAGCGGAGGAAAAGAAACUAACAAGGAUUCCCCUAGUAACGGCGAGUGAAGCGGGAAGAGCUCAAAUUUGAAAUCUUAAAGGGUUUCCCUUUACGAAUUGUAGUUUAAAGAAGUGUUUUCUGUUGAGGUUUUGGUAAAAGUUCUUUGGAAUAGGACAUCAUAGAGGGUGAGAAUCCCGUAUUUGACCUUUACUUUCAACUUUGUGAUACACUUUCAAAGAGUCGGAUUGUUUGGGAAUGCAGUCCAAAAUGGGUGGUAAAUUUCAUCUAAAGCUAAAUAUUGGCGGGAGACCGAUAGCGAACAAGUACCGUGAGGGAAAGAUGAAAAGAACUUUGAAAAGAGAGUUAAACAGUACGUGAAAUUGUCAAAAGGGAAGCGUUUGACACCAGUGUUGUUUUUCUGAAAAUCAAUUAAAGAACUGUUUAUGCUAAGUUGUUUAGACUUUAUCAGCUAACUGUUUAGUUUUGAGCUUUUCUUUAAUGCACUUUUCAGUUAACAAGUCAACAUCAAUUUCUUUUGCUGUAAAAAAGCUUGAGGAAGGUGGCUUGAGAUUCGUCUUAAGUGUUUAUAGCCUCUUGCCUAUGCAGUCGGAGAGAUUGAGGUCUGCAGCGUAGAUCCUUCGGGGCUAAAUGCAUUUGUGCUAAGUUAUAGCAUUUUAUAGACAACUUGUUGACUAUGAUUCGUCUUGUAGCUUACUCGCUUAUGUUAUUUUACCUACGCUUAGGAUGUUGGACGCGCACAGAGUCUC